rnacentral:rRNA from 1 species
CGCGAAUAGCUCAUUACAACAGCUAUUGUUCGCAAAAACUGACAACUACAUGGAUAACUGUGGAAAUGCUAGAGCUAAUACACGUCAAUAUGCCUGAAAAAAAUAAUUUUUUGAGGCGCGUUAAUUCGAUUUGUAUGCCAUUUCGAAUUUAUUGGUUAACCUUACGCUUUACUUUGCGUUAUGGUUUAAAUCAAUUGUAUUUGAGCAGUCGUUGAAACGGAGUAACUAUGCUGAUCGCACGGUCUAAGAACCGGCGACAAAUCUUUGAAAUGACUUGCUCAUCAACUUUCGAUGGUAGAUUACGUGCCUACCAUGGUGACAAUGGUUAACGGAGAAUCAGGGUUUGAUUCCGGAGAGGGAGCCAUAGAAGCGGCUACCAUAUCCAAGGAAGACAGCAGGCACGCAAAUUACCCACUCCCAGAAUGGGGAGGUGGUAAAGAUAAAUAGCGGAACGUAUCUCAAUGAGACGCGUUACCGGAAAAAUUGAGCGUUAUAUAAGCUGGACAAGAGCUAUUGGAGGGCAAGUCUGGUGCCAGCAGCCGCGGUAAUUCCAGCUCCAAUAGCGUAUAUUAAAGCUGCUGCAGAUGAACCGCUCGUAGUUGGAUUGUGAUCCAAGACCGCGGUCCUAUGACUUGCCAAUGAAAAUUUCAUGGCGGGCAAAGGAGUUGAACAGGCUUUGCCGCCGCCGUCGGUCAUGAUCGUUUGAUGAUUGUCAUGAUUGUCCUUGAUGCUCUUUAUUGAGUGUUUGGAUGACAUGGACGUUUACUUUGAGAAAAUAAGAGCGCUUAAAGCAGGCUGCUCGCAGCUUGAACGAAAUUUCAUGGGAUAAUGAAAGAUGAUCUCGCUGGUUUACGGUGUGCUCGGCGCACAUACACGAAUGAUGAUGAUGAUGCUCAGUCAUUGUCUCAUAAGUAGUGUAAAGCCACUGCAAGGUAAUGAUUAAAAGAGACAGACGGUGGCAUUGGUACUGCUGCGUUAGAGGUGAAAUUCUUGGAUCGCAGCAAGACGAACAAUUGCGAAAGCAUUUGCCAAGAAUGUUUUCAUUAAUCAAGAACGAAAGUUGGAGGAUCAAAGGCGAUCAGAUACCGCCC